UGGGGAAUCUUGCACAAUGGGGGCAACCCUGAUGCAGCGACGCCGCGUGAGCGAUGAAGCCCUUCGGGGCGUAAAGCUCUUUCGACCGGAACGAUAAUGACGGUACCGGGAGAAGAAGCUGCGGCUAACUACGUGCCAGCAGCCGCGGUAAUACGUAGGCAGCAAGCGUUGUUCGGAGUUACUGGGCGUAAAGAGUGCGUAGGCGGUUUUCUAAGUUCGGUGUGAAAUCUCCCGGCUUAACUGGGAGGGUGCGCCGAAGACUGGGAAGCUGGAGUGUGGAAAGGCAGGCGGAAUUCCUGGUGUAGCGGUGAAAUGCGUAGAUAUCAGGAGGAACACCGGCGGUGUAGACGGCUUGCUAGACCAUAACUGACGCUGAGGCACGAAAGCGUGGGUAGCAAACA
rnacentral:rRNA from 1 species